rnacentral:misc_RNA from 1 species
AGACGCUCAGGCGACCCCGCGCAAAAUUACCAA